CUUCGUUUCACAUCUCUUCAUCUUCGAUUCCUCUGAGCGAUGGUGCGGCGGUGGAGACGAUUAAGAUCCGUAACGGUGAGUUUACCUCUUUAAUCGUCUUUAGUUGCGUUGUUUCGUCGGCAAUUUCGGUAUAAACAGUCCGGUCGGUGUUCAUCGGUUGUCGAGGCGAGGCUGCUUCGUUAUUGGGAGGCUAGGGAAAGUUGAAACUUGGUGCGGAGCUUAUGUGGGUGGAUUUGCUCCUGGUGGAUGAUAAUGUUUCAACAGAUACAUAAUGUGAGCCCCAUUGCAAAAAGCUUAGACCAAUGGCGGUUGAUUUCACCGAUGAGCAGACCAAGAGUUUUACGAAGUCUUCUGUUCAUCAACAAAGACUCAGUUGGGUUCAUCACGAAGGAGAAGCUAAAGAAAAUGAUGAAAUCAACGGGGAAGAAUCCAAAGGUGGAGUUUUGGGAGGUGCUGAUCGAUGUGGACAUUGAUGGCAAUGGAGGCAUCUAUAUAAGGUCUCAAAACACUUCUUAGGGAAGCUUGAAGAUCAUCAACCACCAUCCCUAUUUCAAGUGAACUUACAAAACAUAGUCAGAUUAUCAGAGAGUAGUCGUCGGCAGGUGCACAGGAGGUGGUGACGGUGAGAGAUCAGCUAAAGAAGGACCGAGAUCCAGAUCCAGAAUUGUCGUGGAGGAGACAGAGCCAGAGAUUAACGACACACAAGCAGCUUGCAGGAGUACUGAAACCAAAACAAGUAAUUUACGAUUUAGAGACUUUGGACCUUAGAGUGAAGUCCAGAUCUCCAGUCUAAAUCAAUUGUCAGAAUCGUCUGCGCUUAUGAACGACGGGCGGCCGAGAUUCACACAGAAGAACAAAAGCAAAAUCG